rnacentral:lncRNA from 1 species
GCCGUUUCUUGAGCUGCUCCCGCUGCACAUGGAGGUUCCCAGGCUAGAGGUCGAAUCGGAGCUGUUGCCGCCGGCCUAAGCCAGAGCCACAGCAACGUCAGAUCCGAGCCACAUCUGCGACCUACACCACAGCUCAGGGCAACGCCGGAUCCCCAACCCCCUGAGCAAGGCCAGGGAUGGAACCUGCAACCUCAUGCUUCCUAGUCGGAUUCGUUAACCACUGCGCCAUGAAGGGAACUCCUAUUAUUUGCAUUUUUGUUUUGUUUAAAAUAUGCUUGAAUUUAUUUACUCAUUUUGUAAUGGCAAUCAAAAAUACAUAGGUAUUUUAGGAAAGUUUAAAAAAAACACACAAAUGUAUAAAAAGGCAAGAGAAACCAUCUACACUCCCACAAUCAUGAAUGAGGAGCAGGAUCUGAAUAGGUAAAAAUGGAUGAAAACCAUUUCUGGUCAAGGAAACUGAGUUUUUAGGGAAAACAAAAUAUUUGUGAGUUCCAUCUCACUUGCACGUGUUUCCGACCAACAAUGUGUUAAAUUCACAGAUCACGUGCUGUGACGCUUUCUCAGGCCCAGCUGCACGGCUAAUGCCUACCGAGCAACGUCUUUGAGCUAUGGUGUCCCUAACAUCAGGAGUCUUGAGGUUUUUGGCAGUCUUCAGUUUUUGGGAUGCCCUUGAGCUGAGUCCAACUAACAUGCAAGAAGAAGUUAUAAAAAUAUGACCCUUGAAAUGUUUUAUUGAUUUCCAGGAAUGAGGUCCCUAAUGACCACUAUACUUUGCUUGCAACAUGUUUUAUAGAUGUUUUUAUUAAAGUUGAUUUAAUUUCCCCCAGUUCACGUGUUCUUGCUAAUUGAAUCAUUUCCCUCAGUUCCCAGAAGGCCAUAAAAUAGAGAAUUUAUUGCAUACUGUGUAACAAUAUAUAUUAGGGUAAAUAUAUUGAUGUGACUCCUCAGCCAGCACAUUGUGCAGAGCUGAUAAAGUGCCAUCGUAAUUACUCAAAGAAUCUGAUGUACUUCAUUACAUUAUCACAAGCUCUAUUGGUUACGAAAGUUAAAUUGAUCUGUUGUUGUUAUUAUUGAAUUAAAGUCAAAUAUUUUAUGUGUUCUUAGGUAUAGGAAAGAGGCAUUACCUUCUCAAAAUUGAUUCUGGAGGGCUCUUUGGGGUGCAGCGUAUUGUCUUUCUAGCAAUGAAUAAAAUGUCAAUAGAAAUUGAAAGACUGAAAAAAAAAAUCAAAUCCCUAUUUUGAGAAAAAGAAGCAGGGCCAGUAUGAAUGUUGUGGCACUUAAAAACCAAGAAGUAGAAUAAUUAUAAAUUUAAACAUUUUUCUAUAAUAAAUAAAUAUCAAAACGAUGUCUAAGGAUUCAAUUAAAUCUUUCCCCUCUACAAUAGUUUCAUUUCUACGUCAUUUAUUUAUUUAUUUGGUUUGUUGGACACAUGCUUUUUUUUAUUACUCAAUGAAUUUAUUACAUUCAUAAUUGCACAAUGAUCAUCACAAUCCAAUUUUAUGGGAUUUCCAUCCCACAACCCCAGCACAUCCCCCCACUCCCCAAACUGUCUCCUUGGAGACCAUAAGUUUUUCAAAGUCUGUGAGUCAGUAUCUGUUCUGCAAAGAAGUUCAGUCUGUCCUUUUUUCGGAUUCCACAUGAUAUUUUUAAAAAUUUCCUUUGUUAGGAAUAACCAGAACAAAAGAAAAUGGAAACUUCUCUCAAAAGUUUAUUGCAAGGUAAUGUUAUAUAUCCUUACAUUUUUACCUUUAAGUAUAAUCUUCUUUUUGUAGGUGAGGAGACAACCUUAGGAUAGUUUAAUGAAAUUACUUCUCCUCAAGGCGACAUACGUUUCAUAGUCGAGAUUCAUCUGAAACCUUUUCAUUUAAGAUCGAUUUCUUCUUCUAUAUCCCACUGUGUCUCUAAAAUGUGCAGUCCAUAUUGAUUAGUUGAAUUCUGAAUUGAAUCAGAAUCAGGAAAUAAUGACAGGUGAAUUGUACUUUAAAAAUUCAUUAGAGACUGUAUAUAGAUUACAUUCAUAUGUUAGCAUGGUAAGAAGUAUGACCUAAUGAGAACAUGUUGGGUCAAGGAAAAGGUAGUGACUUCUGUUCGCCUAUGAAUAAGGCUUUAUAGACCUCAGGAAAUCCUAGGAUCAUCACGGGAGAUGGUCAUUUGUUAAGGGAGAAGAAAAGAGGAAGCAAACAUGCCUGUCUAGACGAUGAGUAUUAGAAUAACACAGUAAACACAAUUAGGUUAUAAUGAGCUUAUUAACAUGGGAAAAUUGAAAGUAAAACACCAGACAGGAUUGUGUGCAUAGAAACAAAUAUAAGAGGUCUCAGUUUGGCUUUGUUGAGGUAGUGUGGGCCAACAGGACAUUUUUGAUAGGCUUUCUUUUUUCACUCAUUAAUUUGGAAAAUGAUGACUGAAUGGAUAAAUGGCUCUACACAAGGUGUUUGCUUGCCUUAGUAAAGAUUGUGUAACGUUGGAAAAUACAUAAAGGGUAUAGACAGAUUUGUGAGUCAAUUCAAAUCUUGCAAAAGCGUGAAUUCUCCAAGUGUGUGGCCCUUCGGGGGAAGACAGAGAUUUCCUGCCAGAUAUUUAAUUGUGCCCUCAGAAUUGUAAGCAGGGAUUUUGAAUUUACUUCACUUACACCAGCUUCUAUUAUGCUGAUUUAAGGCUAUACAGUCAUGGCAUUCUGAAUAAAAGUUAGUGCUCUGAAAUAAUACGAAAACAUUCCCAGAAAGUGAGUAAGGUAUGAACUUAAAAACUAAUUACAAUUCUGGAGAUUCAAAGGGGGUAGGUCUUGUGCCCUGGUACAUUUUAUGACUCAGGCUUAGAAUCUAAAAAUCUCAAUUUCCAUUUUUAGCUGUAAACUUUAAAACUUAUGCCCUAAAUCACAGUUUAUAGAUAUGAUUUUAAAGGUUUUCUUCAAGUGAUAACUUAAAUUUGUACAGAACAGCAAAUAAACAUUUAGGGAAAGAUUUAAGAGGUAUCAAUGACUCUGGGAAUUUAUCCUAUCUAAAACUAACAGUAAUACCAAUGGUAACAUGAGAUAAAUGCUAUUUAGCCUAAAACAUAGUUCAAGAUAAAUUACAACUAUACCUCAUUAAUUUAGAAUGAAUAAAGAAGGAAAUUGGGAAUAAAUGAAGCUUGUGAAACAUUUAAAAACAAAUACAAAUUCCAAGUCACACUAGAAUGUGAGGUCCUCAAAGGCCAGUAUUGUAUACAAUGGCUUUGCAAUCCUAAUGCUGAAUACACUCCUAUUUGAGAAAGUUAAUCUUAUUAAUUAUCUCAGGAUAAUUUGGUGUCCUAAACCAGUUAACUCAAGCAAUUUUGUGUCAAGAAAGCAUCUCUUGUAUGUUAAGUUGCAUAAAAUAUGCAUCAGGAUAUUGACUAUUCCCAAUACUAUCAGGAUAAUUAAGAGCUACACUAAAAUUGUCAAAAUAAAUGAGUCAAGUACAUCCUGAGAUGAACUAUCCAUGACUUUUAUUAUAUUUGUUCACAUACUUAGUAAUUUGCAAAAAUUUAGCCAUUGUCUCCCUGUCACUGGUAUGAAUUCACAAAGCCUGACUGUAAUAGCAGUUAGGAUGGUAAUUAUGGAAAAUGAAGUUAUGCUUCUAAACAAAUGAAGGUUAUGUACAUAUUUAGCACAGUCUGAAGACUAGGUGUCAGAGAAAAAAGCAUUUUAGGAUAUAUUUUAAAAGCUAGCAUGGAACUGAAGCAAAAACUUUUAAAAGCAAUGUAACUGUUGCAUGCUUUGUUUCACUACCAGGUUCUACUCCUAUUUCUUAGCACCUGCUGCUUUAUUAUUCUCAGCACAUUUUUUAAGUUCCCUUGGACUUCGGCCUUUUAGGGCAUUAGUGAUGCUCUAAUUUUUGUAAUUUAAAAAAUAUUGAUUUUCAAAAAUUUUCUGAUGAAACCUCUGCUUUUCAUUUCUCACUUCUCUUUAUGCAACAAGUUUUUCUGUCUUACCCAAAACAGCAGUAUUUCCACUUUUCACUGAGAUAUUUUUAAGUGUUAAAUUGGUAUACCCUGGCUUAUUAUUUUAUGUAAAAAUCACGUCAGCUUAAAAAAACUAUGUGAAUCAUAGACUUGCUUGUCCAUUUAAAGAUACAAGCACAUAUACACAGACUACUACGUACUCAGAUAAAAUCAUUUGUAUUUUAAAUAUUUUAUAUACCCAACAAAAUAAGACUAGUUUGUUCUGAAGUGUCUGGAAAUCAGUUUCAUUAUUCACAGCACAUAUAACGUUUUGUCUCCCCGGAUUUUCGCAGAAAACUGUUCAAUAGCAGAAAACCAAGCCCAGUUACAACAGAACAGUAAGGUUAGAGGACAUAAUUUCUAGCAACUGAAACGCGCACCUAACAUGGUGAAUGGAAACAACACAAUCACAAUACAUUGUACCACAUCUGAAAUAUUUGGGGCUUAAUUUAGGACAGAUAGUGAUUUUCUCAGCUGUUUAACUGCUUACCUUUUAAUAAUUUAUUAAACAUUAUUGAUGAGUCUGGGUGUAAAGGUCACCCACUGGUCACUUUAGAGAGAGAAAAUUUGAGGCCAGUUUUGAUGCCAUGCAAUUUUAUGUCCUAUUUUUAUAUUUAGACCAGAAUGUAAUAUUUGGGACCAGUUUGGAUUUUAACUAAUUUUCAAAGAUAACUCUUACUCUGAACACCAUAAUUAAUGAUGUACACAGUCCUAGAGAGCUAAUGCUCCUUCUGAGAGUUUUUUUUUUUUUUUUUUUUUUUUUAAGGAUUAUUGAGAACUGCCAUUUUAGCCGAGUCUUCUGGAGAGGUUUGGGCAUGUGAGAGUCAUCACACAAAGAACUGGGUUAAGUA